UACGAGGGGUGCAAGCGUUGCUCGGAAUUAUUGGGCGUAAAGCGCACGUAGGCGGUUCGUUAAGUCGGAUGUGAAAGCCCUCGGCUCAACUGAGGAAGUGCACCCGAAACUGGCGAGCUUGAGUACGAAAGAGGAUCGCGGAAUUCCCGGUGUAGAGGUGAAAUUCGUAGAUAUCGGGAGGAACACCGGUGGCGAAGGCGGCGAUCUGGGUCGAUACUGACGCUGAGGUGCGAAAGCGUGGGGAGCAAACAGG
rnacentral:rRNA from 1 species